rnacentral:rRNA from 1 species
GAUGAACGCUGGCGGCGUGCUUAACACAUGCAAGUCGAACGGAAAGGCCCAAGCUUGCUUGGGUACUCGAGUGGCGAACGGGUGAGUAACACGUGGGUGAUCUGCCCUGCACUUCGGGAUAAGCCUGGGAAACUGGGUCUAAUACUGGAUAGGACCACUUCUUGGAUGUUGUGGUGGAAAGUUUUUUCGGUGUGGGAUGAGCUCGCGGCCUAUCAGCUUGUUGGUGGGGUAAUGGCCUACCAAGGCGUCGACGGGUAGCCGGCCUGAGAGGGUGUACGGCCACAUUGGGACUGAGAUACGGCCCAGACUCCUACGGGAGGCAGCAGUGGGGAAUAUUGCACAAUGGGCGCAAGCCUGAUGCAGCGACGCCGCGUGGGGGAUGACGGCCUUAGGGUUGUAAACUCCUUUCGCUAGGGACGAAGCGUUUUGUGACGGUACCUGGAGAAGAAGCACCGGCUAACUACGUG